CGGCGAUUUACUUGAUUUACGAACAGCACUGCCCAAUCGAAUGUGCUGCACCUACAACUACUGCUCAGUUUCACUCGUGCAGAGGUCUACGACAGUUGACCGAACACAAUUCCAUACAAGCAUGUUUUCGAGAACGGGACCAUUUUAUCGAAGCUCAGUUUACAGCAACAUCAGUUAUUGAAAAAGGAUUGCCAUUUAGUGAAUCUAUUCAAUUGGCAUAAGCAAAUCUGGAAGCCCCUAAAUGCUAGCGCGAUUCACUGAGGCGUGUUUGCCUAUGCUUCGAGCACUCGCUCUUCUCUCUUAGGCUGUAAACCAGGCAGAAUGUAAUUGCAAAAACGGCAGGGUUGUGACAUGCA